UCCGGUUUAUCACCGGCAGUUCCCCUAGAGUCCCCGGCAUGAUCCGCUGGCAACUAAGGGCAAGGGUUGCGCUCGUUGCGCCACUUAAGGCAACACCUCACGGCACGAGCUGACGACAGCCAUGCAGCACCUGUGCGGGCCCCCGAAGGGGCACCGUGUUUCCACGGCGUCACCCCGCAUGUCAAGCCCUGGUAAGGUUCUUCGCGUUGCGUCGAAUUGAGCCACAUGCUCCGCCGCUUGUGCGGGUCCCCGUCAAUUCCUUUGAGUUUUAGCCUUGCGGCCGUACUCCCCAGGCGGGGUGCUUAAUGCGUUAGCUGCGGCACGGAUCGCGUCGAUAGCGACCCACACCUAGCACCCAUCGUUUACGGCGUGGACUAC
rnacentral:misc_RNA from 1 species